rnacentral:rRNA from 1 species
UACGUAGGGGGCAAGCGUUGUCCGGAUUUAUUGGGCGUAAAGAGCGUGUAGGCGGUUCGGUAGGUCCGUUGUGAAAACUCGAGGCUCAACCUCGAGACGCCGAUGGAAACCCCCGAACUAGAGUCCGGAAGAGGAGAGUGGAAUUCCCGGUGUAGCGGUGAAAUGCGCAGAUAUCGGGAAGAACACCCGUGGCUAAGGCGGCUCUCUAGUACGGUACUGACGCUGAGGUGCGAAAGCGUGGGGAGCAAACAGG